rnacentral:RNase_P_RNA from 1 species
CGAGCUGGCCGGGCGGCCGCGGCAGAUGUCGAGGAACGUCCGGGCACCGUAGGACAGGACGGUGGGUAACACCCACCCGGGGUGACCCGCGGGCACGUGCAACAGAAAGUAGACCGCCACCCGCGUGAGCGGGAGGUAAGGGUGAAAGGGUGGUGUAAGAGACCACCAGCGUCCCCGGUGACGGGGGUGGCUAGGUAAACCCCGUCCGGUGCAAGACCACGCAGCAGGCGCAUGAGGGCUGUCCGUCCAAGCCUGCGGGUAGGUUGCUCGAGCCGCGCGGUAACGCGCGGCCAAGAUAGAUGGUCGCCCCUGGCAAGGCCCGCCGGCCGCGCCAGGACAGAACCCGGCGUACAGGCCAGCUCGUCCC